AACGCACUCUGUAAAGAAAGAGACAUUCCUUCUUACCAAAGUCUCCAACUUCUCCAUAGGCCGUCCAUUUAGCUUUUGAAGACGCAAAUGUCAUCGCAAUUUUGGCAUGAUCAAGGGCAAUACGCCAAAAAAGUUAUUCAAAAAAGUGUACUUAUCGAGUUCUUGUGCGUACUGCAUAUUUGCUUCAGACAAGAUAAUCGCUUUGAUGCAGUCUAAUAUUCCGGAGCACAAUAGGCAUUUUUUAACGGAUGCCACAUUCGGGGACUUCAAGGAACUUUUAAUAAUUUACAUGAAAUAUAGCAGAAGAUAAACCCAUUUAUAUUUGUUUUGAUGACGCGAAAAACGGAGCUCUGCUAUCAGCAUUUGUUUACAUAUAUAGACUCCAGCAUUUGUUGCUUAAAUGUGGCAUCAUUCAAAUAUAAUAAUGCAAAAUAAUCAACUGGUUUUGAAAAUAUGCUUAAAAGCAAUAAACAAGCUUAUUUGCUGUUUAUGAAAUUUCUGCAUUUACCGCUCCUACCAGAGAGUAAAAUUGUCGAAGCCCUUAAUCUACUGCAAUGUCAAGCAAUUGCUUUAAACAAGAAUUUGUUUUCUCCGUUUUGAAUAUAUUUUGAGAAGCAGUGUCAAGCAGUCAAAAGGAAGGACCUAAAUACAUAUCGGCGAAGCAUACAAUUUGAAAACAAACUUCGAGCAAAAGGGCAUGUUUUUUUAACUCUUCCAGUGUAUUAUUGAUGCUGAAUAUGAAAAAAGGCGAAUUCGCCACCGACGAAACAACUGACCGCUCUCAAAAGAUCAUGGAUUCUUUUUGACAUGGAAGAAAUUGAUAUGCAGGGCUUUUUGUCUCGCACUGUUACGCUAAAUGAAGGACUUUCAAGGCAGAACCUGUUUGACUGGGACGAUAAAUCAAAUAUUUCCGGAAUUUCGACCAAUUUGUUGCCUACAAUAAAUCGAACUAUGAUUCUUUAAAUGAAAAAACUAAACCUAAGUGUCUGAGCUGUAAACAAUAAGUCGGAUAUGCAAUACGUAAUGUUUUUAUUUACACUAUAAAAAAAUGUAACACCAACA